AGACCGGGAGAGGUCGGAGGUACUCUUGGGGUAGCGGUGAAAUGCUGUAAUCCUGGGGGGACCACCAGUGGCGAAGGCGUCCGACCAGAACGGAUCUGACGGUGAGGGGCGAAGGCUAGGGGAGCGAACGGGAUUAGAUACCCCGGUAGUCCUAGCUGUAAAGCAUGCGGGCCAGGUGUCUAGCGCUCCUUGAGGGCGCUAUGUGCCGGAGGGAAGCCGUUAAGCCCGCCGCCUGGGAAGUACGGCCGCAAGGCUGAAACUUAAAGAAAUUGGCGGGGGAGCACCACAAGGGGUGGAACCUGCGGUUCAAUUGGAUUCARCGCCGGACAACUCACCAGGGGCGACAGUUGGUUGAAGGCCAGGUUGACGACUUUGCUGGACUAGCUGAGAGGUGGUGCAUGGCCAUCGUCAGCUCGUACCGUGAGGCGUCCUGUUAAGUCAGGCAACGAGCGAGAUCCUCGCCCCUAGUUGCCAUCGGUGGGAAGCCGGGCACUCUAGGGGGACCGCUGGCGCUAAGUCAGAGGAAGGAGAGGGCGACGGUAGGUCAGUAUGCCCCGAAUCCCCUGGGCUACACGCGGGUUACAAUGCGCAGGACAAUGAGAUGCAACCCCGUAAGGGGGAGCCAAGCCCCUAAACCUGCGCUCGGUUCGGAUCGAGGGCUGUAACUCGCCCUCGUGAAGCUGGAAUCCCUAGUAAUCGCGUGCCAACACCGCGCGGUGAAUGCGUCCCUGCUCCUUGCACACACCGCCCGUCAAGCCACUCGAGUGGGGUCCGGAUGAGGUCAGUUCAAGUUGGRCUGCUCGAAUCCGAGUUCUGCAAGAGGGGCU
rnacentral:rRNA from 1 species